GACGAACGCUGGCGGCGUGCUUAACACAUGCAAGUCGAACGGUAAGGCCCUUCGGGGUACACGAGUGGCGAACGGGUGAGUAACACGUGGGUGAUCUGCCCUGCACUUCGGGAUAAGCCUGGGAAACUGGGUCUAAUACCGGAUAGGACUCCGGACUGCAUGGUCUGGGGUGGAAAGCUUUUGCGGUGUGGGAUGGGCCCGCGGCCUAUCAGCUUGUUGGUGGGGUGAUGGCCUACCAAGGCGACGACGGGUAGCCGGCCUGAGAGGGUGACCGGCCACACGGGGACUGAGAUACGGCACAGACUCCUACGGGAGGCAGCAGUGGGGAAUAUUGCACAAUGGGCGCAAGCCUGAUGCAGCGACGCCGCGUGAGGGAUGACGGCCUUCGGGUUGUAAACCUCUUUCAGCACAGACGAAGCGCAAGUGACGGUAUGUGCAGAAGAAGGACCGGCCAACUACGUGCCAGCAGCCGCCGCAG
rnacentral:rRNA from 1 species